rnacentral:tRNA from 1 species
AAGUUAAAAUUGAAAAAAAUAUGUUUUGAAAACAUACAUGAGAGGUUAAAUUCCUCUAUUAACUUA